GAUGAACGCUGGCGGCGUGCCUAAUACAUGCAAGUCGAGCGAACAGACGAGGAGCUUGCUCCUUCGACGUUAGCGGCGGACGGGUGAGUAACACGUAGGUAACCUACCUAUAAGACUGGGAUAACUUCGGGAAACCGGAGCUAAUACCGGAUAAUAUUUCGAACCGCAUGGUUCGAUAGUGAAAGAUGGCUUUGCUAUCACUUAUAGAUGGACCUGCGCCGCAUUAGCUAGUUGGUAAGGUAACGGCUUACCAAGGCAACGAUACGUAGCCGACCUGAGAGGGUGAUCGGCAAACCUGGACCGAGGCACGGGUCAAACUCCCACGGGGAGGAAGCAGUAGGAAACUUUCCGCAAUGGGCGAAAGCCUGACGGGGAAACGCGGCGUGAGUGAGAAGGGCCUUCGGUUCGUAAAACCUUGUUAUAGGGGAAGAACAAAGGUGUAGGUACCUGUGACCGUCUUGACGGUACCUAAGAAGAAAGCAACGGCAACCUACGU
rnacentral:rRNA from 1 species